rnacentral:misc_RNA from 1 species
AAAGAGAGUAUGUUCAGUUGAGAAUCAAGAUCGGUGGUGAUGCUUCCCUUUGGUUUGUCCUUCCCUGCAAAUUUGCUUUGAAGCUUCUAAGUGCAGAUCGGUUGGCAGCCUCGAAGGAGUGGUACCCUGUUGGUCACCUUCUCUUUCAGGGCAAGUAUGAAAGGCCCUUGUUAGCCAAGCCUGAUUCCAGGUUUCACCUGGCAUUGGUUAGAAUCUUUGUUCUAACCAAUAAGAGCAUACCCUGAGCUGAACUCUUGCAUUU